ACUAAAGCAGCCCCUGCCAGUGUCAUGACCCAAAUGAGAGCCUGGCCAGACUGCCCAGGGCUAGCUUCUCCAUUCCUCUCACAAGUCCAGUUUUGACAGGUUGUCAGAUUACUUUCAAAAAGGAGAUAAUCUUUCUCCAAAGGGUCAGUUGCUAAAUAUCCAAAAGAGAAGCCAUACAAGCAGGAUGGUUCCCAGAUUUCCUGGAAGCCGCAUACCCUGUGUCCACACCUGCUUUAACUCGGGUCCUCUCGUGGCAGGACUCCCACUGGAAUAGAAGCUUUCUGAGAGGUUCUGAUCGCCCUUAAGAAGCUCUGUGUGGCUGGAGGAUCGAAAACUUUGGGCACAAGCUGGAAGGUCAUUUACUGCAAACCACUAUCUCCCAGCUAAUCUUUGCCUCAUCUAUCAGAAACUUCUCCUCCCAACAUAAAUACUAACAACUCAAUAGCCAACACCAGGCUGCAUAUUUCCUCUGCAGGCCCUGAAAUAUUAAAGAUGAAGAAACCAAAGUGCAGAGAAGUUUCAAAAUUUGCCUAAGGACAUAGCUAAUGAAUAGCAGGGCUAGGAUUAUGAACCGAGAUAUUCUGGGUCCACAGUCCCUGCCUGUAACCACUAUUCAACUCUGCCUUUACUAGGAACAUGGCAAGUUACUCAUAGAAUCCUAAAACUGUUACAGCUCCUUGAACAUCAUCUAAACUAAUUUUACAAAUAAAAAGACUGAGGCCAGAGAGAGGAAGUGAUUGGCUGAAAGUAACCCAGCAGGAUGGCUCUCCAACCCCAGAUCCUGACUUCACCCACCUCUGCGUGAGCAUGUUAGGGUCUGGAGCAUCUCUGCUGGAGACUGGUCCUGCCUAGUGCAGGCCCCCUCUUGAAAAUACACAGAAUUCUGGAUGUUGCAUACAUGGGAAAUUGUGAACAUGGAGCUCAGAGCUCAGCUUGCAAGAAAGAAGGGGAUGUCCCAAUGCCAGAUACAGAGAUAGUUGGAAAUAUGAGUGGGAAACUCCCAAGCAGAUGCCAGGAUAGCUGCAGAUUCUACAUCACCAUGGUGAUUCUGCUUUUCCGAGGAAAAGACAAAGAAAAUCUGUUUGGUAGGUCUGGGAUAAGAUAAUAUUUUCAUAUAUUAGCUGUAUUUUUUUUUAGCUAUUUCAUUAUUUUCCGUGAUACCUCUUCCUCAUCCAACCAGAUUGUUAAGUAAGGUUGGCUGCAGAAGAAAAGAGGAAAAAAGGUUUUUUUAACUUGUGGUAAAAUAUUCAUAACAUAAAAUUUACCAUUUUACCCAUUUUUAAGUGUACAGCUCUAUGGCAUUAAGUACUUUCACAUUGUUGUGCAAAAGUUCUCCAGAACAUGCUCAUCUUCCCAAACCAAAACUGUGUAACCAUUAAAGAUGAACUCCCCAUUCCCUUCCCCAACUGGCAGCCGCCAUUCUACUGUCUGUCUUAUGCAUUUGACCACUCUAGGUACUUCGUGGAAGUGGAAUCAUAUAAUAUUUGUCCUUUUAUAUGUGGCUCAUUUAACUUAGCAUAAUGUUUUCAAGAGUCAUCUAUGUUGUAGCAUCU
rnacentral:lncRNA from 10 species